GACUGAGUGGCAAACGGGUGAGUAACACGUGGAUGACCUACCCUGAAGUGGGGGAUAACCUUGGGAAACCAGGACUAAUCCCGCAUGCGCUUGUUGGUUGUGACCAAUAAGGAAAGAUUUAUUGCUUUAGGAUGGGUCCGCGGGCCAUCAGCUAGUUGGUGAGGUAAAGGCUCACCAAGGCAACGACGGCUAGCCGGCCUGAGAGGGUGAACGGCCACAGGGGUACUGAGACACGGACCCCACUCCUACGGGAGGCAGCAGUUAGGAAUCUUCCACAAUGGGCGAAAGCCUGAUGGAGCAAGACCGCGUGAGGGAGGAAGGCUCUUGGGUUGUAAACCUCUUUUCUCAGGGAAGAAGCUCUGACGGUACCUGAGGAAUCAGCCUCGGCUAACUCCGUGCCAGCAGCCGCGGUAAUACGGAGGAGGCAAGCGUUAUCCGGAAUUAUUGGGCGUAAAGCGUCCGCAGGUGGCGAUUCAAGUCUGCUGUCAAAGCACGGGGCUUAACUCCGUUAAGGCAGUGGAAACUGAAUAGCUAGAGUGCCGUAGGGGUAGAGGGAAUUCCCGGUGUAGCGGUGAAAUGCGUAGAGAUCGGGAAGAACAUCGGUGGCGAAAGCGCUCUACUGGACGGCAACUGACACUCAGGGACGAAAGCUAGGGGAGCGAAUGGGAUUAGAUACCCCAGUAGUCCUAGCUGUAAACGAUGGAUACUAGGUGUAGCUUGUAUCGACCCGAGCUGUGCCGAAGCUAACGCGUUAAGUAUCCCGNCUGGGGAGUACGCACGCAAGUGUGAAACUCA
rnacentral:rRNA from 1 species